rnacentral:rRNA from 1 species
AGUGAUUGAGUUUGAUCCUGGCUCAGGACGAACGCUGGCGGCGUGCUUAACACAUGCAAGUCGAACGAGGUUAUAUCACGGAAAGCUUCGGCCGGAAGGGAGAUAACCGAGUGGCGGACGGGUGAGUAACGCGUGAGGAACCUGUCUUCUACAGGGGGAUAACGGUCCGAAAGGAUUGCUAAUACCGCAUAAGACCACGAACCCGCAUGGUAAUGGGGUCAAAGGAGAGAUCCGGUAGAAGGUGGACUCGCGUCCCAUUAGAUAGUUGGUGAGGUAACGGCCCACCAAGUCGACGAUGGGUAGCCSACCUGAGAGGGUGAUCGGCCACAUUGGAACUGAGAUACGGUCCAGACUCCUACGGGAGGCAGCAGUGGGGAAUAUUGGGCAAUGGGCGAAAGCCUGACCCAGCAACGCCGCGUGAGGGAAGAAGGUCUUCGGGUUGUAAACCUCUGUCCUUGGUGAAAAGGAGGGAUGGUAGCCAAGGAGGAAGCUCCGGCUAACUACGUGCCAGCAGCCGCGGUAAUACGUAGGGAGCGAGCGUUGUCCGGAAUAAAGAGCGUAAAGGGCGUGUAGGCGGCCUUUUAAGUCUGAAGUGAAAUCCCUGGUUUCAAGUCAGGGUCUGCUUUGGAAACUGGGAGGCUUGAGUGCAGGAGAGGUUAUCGGAAUUCCCGGUGUAGCGGUGAAAUGCGUAGAGAUCGGGAGGAACACCAGUGGCGAAGGCGGGUAACUGGACUGUAACUGACGCUAAGGCGCGAAAGUGUGGGGAGCAAACAGGAUUAGAUACCCUGGUAGUCCACACUGUAAACGAUGAAUGCUAGGUGUAGGGGGUAUCGACCCCUUCUGUGCCGCAGUAAACACAAUAAGCAUUCCGCCUGGGGAGUACRGMCGCAAGGUUGAAACUCAAAGGAAUUGACGGGGGCCCGCACAAGCAGCGGAGCAUGUGGUUUAAUUCGACGCAACGCGAAGAACCUUACCAGGUCUUGACAUCCAAUAAAAGCUGCAGAGAUGCAGUGUGAGCUUGCUCGUAUUGAGACAGGUGGUGCAUGGUUGUCGUCAGCUCGUGUCGUGAGAUGUUGGGUUAAGUCCCGCAACGAGCGCAACCCUUGUUUACAGUUACUAACACGUAGAGGUGAGGACUCUGUAGAGACUGCCGGGGACAACUCGGAGGAAGGUGGGGACGACGUCGAAUCAUCAUGCCCCUUAUGACCUGGGCUAC